rnacentral:rRNA from 1 species
AUUGAACGCUGGCGGCGUGCUUAACACAUGCAAGUCGAUCGGUAACAGGUGUAGCAAUACAUGCUGACGAGAGGCGGACGGGUGAGGAACGCUUGGGAAUCUGCCUAUCAGCGGGGGACAACCCGGGGAAACUCGGGCUAAUACCGCAUACGCUCUACGGAGGAAAGCCGGGGACCGCAAGGCCUGGCACUGAUAGAUGAGCCCAAGUCGGAUUAGCUAGUUGGCGGGGUAACGGCCCACCAAGGCAACGAUCCGUAGCUGGUCUGAGAGGACGAUCAGCCAAACCGGAACUGAGACACGGUCCGGACUCCUACGGGAGGCAGCAGUGGGGAAUAUUGGACAAUGGGGGAAACCCUGAUCCAGCGACGCCGCGUGGGUGAAGACGGCCUGCGGGUUGUACAGCCCUUUCGGUAGGGAAGAAAUCUCUUGCUCUAACAAAGCAGGAGUUUGACUUAACCUACAUAAGAAGCACCGGCUAACUCUGUGCCAGCCGCCGCGGUAA